rnacentral:rRNA from 1 species
AAGACCUUGCGCUUUUGGAGCGGCCGAUGUCUGAUUAGCCUGUUGGUGAGGUAAAAGCUUACCAAGGCUUCGAUCAGUAGCUGGUCUGAGAGGGCGACCAGCCACACUGGGACUGAGACACGGCCCAGACUCCUACGGGAGGCAGCAGUGGGGAAUUUUGGACAAUGGGGGCAACCCUGAUCCAGCCAUGCCGCGUGAGUGAAGAAGGCCUUCGGGUUGUAAAGCUCUUUCAGCCGGAACGAAACGGUUACGGUUAAUACCCGUGACUACUGACGGUACCGGAAGAAGAAGCACCGGCUAACUACGUGCCAGCAGCCGCGGUAAUACGUAGGGUGCGAGCGUUAAUCGGAAUUACUGGGCGUAAAGCGUGCGCAGGUGGUUUUGUAAGUCAGAUGUGAAAUCCCCGGGCUUAACCUGGGAACU